rnacentral:rRNA from 1 species
UACGUAGGGUGCAAGCGUUAAUCGGAAUUACUGGGCGUAAAGCGUGCGCAGGCGGUUUUGUAAGUUUGUCGUGAAAGCCCCGGGCUCAACCUGGGAAUUGCGAUGAAGACUGCAAGGCUUGAAUCUGGCAGAGGGGGGUAGAAUUCCACGUGUAGCAGUGAAAUGCGUAGAGAUGUGGAGGAACACCGAUGGCGAAGGCAGCCCCCUGGGUCAAGAUUGACGCUCAUGCACGAAAGCGUGGAGAGCAAACAGG